ACGGGUAAAAUACCGUUAGGGGUAAAAGUGAACCCGUAAAUGAAUAUUAACUAGGAAUAAUUAACCUAGUUGAAUAUUAGUAUCGUUGGUAUUAAACGAGUGGUUGUAGCCUUAUUUAAUUAAAACGAAACAUGGGGACCAAAGUGAACAACUUGAAAGUUGUUUUCUUAAAAUGUCUAAGUGUUUUAUAUAAUUAGAUAAGUUUAAAAGUAUCAAGAAAGUUUAUAAAACUUGGAAAAGGGUUAUUAGGUGACAACAAUAGAUAGCAUGGGGGUUGAAUGUGUAAGAUUGAUAAAUAACGUAAUAAAAUUAAAAACCCAGUAGUUGGGUGCGUGGUGGGUAUCGCGACCAGGAGGGGGAAAGAAAGGGUGAAACCCUACUUGUUCAAUCAAGGUCAAAAUUCAGCAAAUUAAUGGUGGUUCUUGACACAAAUCGAAUGCAUGAGACUGGAUACAACUUAAUCUAAGUAUAUUGAUCAUAAGGAAUCACAUUAGCAAGGACUCGAAAACGGAAGGUUAACGGGUCAAGCAGAGGCGAGGAAACAAGCGUGAACACUAACGCUCGAGGUAAGUGACUUUCGAUUCACUUCUUAGUAUACAUAUAGAGUUUUCUUGUUAUGGUUGAAUGGGAUGAUUGAUGUAUAUAAAAUGGCCGACAAGUAGGUAUGUAUGAAUGCAUUUAGGAAAAUUACGUAAGUACAUGCACGUGUGAGCUAAGGUAUGCACGGGUGUAGUUAUGAUUCAUUUUAUGAAUGUAUGUAAGUAUGGAGUUAUGUAUGCAUGUAUGUAUAUAUGUAGGUAUUGGUGUAUGUAUGUACGUAAGUAGUUAUGUAUGAGCAUGAGCAUUAUGUAUUUGAAUAUGAAAGUACAUACGUGUGUAGGUACGAAUGUAUAUAUAUAUGUGGAUGCAAGUAAGUAUGUAUGUAUGUAUGUAUGUGAGUAGGUAUGUGUGUAUGUAGUUAUGUAUGUAUGUAUGUAAAUACAUAUGCGAAGAUGUAAUCAUGUAUGUAUGUAAUUCGAUGCGUGGGUAUGCAAGUAAAGGUAUGUAUGUAUGUAGAUGUGUAUUAUGCGUAUGCGAAGAUACGUAGGUAUAUAUGAAUGUAUGUAGAGAAGUAGUAAUGCAUGCGCGAAUGUAGAUAUGGGGUUGGUAUAUAAGAAGGUACGUAUGAGUAUAUGCAGGUAUGUAGAAAUAUAGGAGGACAUGUACGUAUGUAGACGCAUAUGUAUACAUGUAAACAUGUACAUGUGCAUGAUUUAGAUACGUAGAAUUUUAACGUUACUAAUUAUGCGUUUGAGGUUGGUAUGUGAUGCAGGAACAAGUACACCGGAUUCUUACGAAACUUAAACCGAACCCGGAAUAAGAGGAUGAGAAAGAAUAAUUGGAUGAAUUAAUGUUAAAUUGACGAACAUUAUUCAAUCUUUAAUUACAUGAGAUUAAUGUUAUAUGAUGUUGCCUUUGACUAAUGGUUAAGUUGUAUGUGAUGCCCACAGGUGUUACACGGACUUCUUCUGCUGCUAUGGAAGUGAAGCGGACGUAGAUCGAGUCAAGAGCAAGGAUUGUACGGAUAGAUUGGUCACAUAGUUGAAGUAUAUAACGUUUGGAAAUCUAAAUUUUAGUAUGAAUGUUGUAAAAUUCUUUUAUAGUACGUUUAACAUUUUUAGGAUUUGGAUCCUUCGUGAAAGAAAUGUUGUUAAUACGGAAGAAAAUUUUAAAGCUCUUUUUUCCGCUGCGUUAUUUUUAAGGUUAAACGUGUUAGGGUGUAACAAGUUGGUAUCAGAGCCCUGGUUUGAGAGAAUCAAGUACAAGAGGAUAGGUACUUGAACUCGAACCUGUGUGCUCUUAUGACAAGAAACCCAUACAAUCCGAGACUCGACCAAGAUCUAAAGGUAGAAGCAAAGGUAAGUAUGUGCUUAAGUAUGUAUUGGAAGAUAACUAACUAUAUGUUAUGUGUAAGGUAAGCAUGGUUGCUUGGAAAGAAUGAUUUGUGGAUGCGGUCUAGCACCGACGCCAAGGCCAUGUUCAUUUGAACAAGGCAUUAUUGAAAGGAUGCGCAUAGGCGGGUGCUCAACAAAUCAAUGGAAGCAAUCAAUGAAAGCAUUACAUGAACCCAUGAAGAAACGGGCCGACUCGGGCCACAAACCGCUGGCAUACACGACGAAGUCAAGGAAUCACAUUAGCAAGGACUCGAAAACGGAAGGUUAACGGGUCAAGCAGAGGCGAGGAAACAAGCGUGAACACUAACGCUCGAGGUAAGUGACUUUCGAUUCACUUCUUAGUAUACAUAUAGAGUUUUCUUGUUAUGGUUGAAUGGGAUGAUUGAUGUAUAUAAAAUGGCCGACAAGUAGGUAUGUAUGAAUGCAUUUAGGAAAAUUACGUAAGUACAUGCACGUGUGAGCUAAGGUAUGCACGGGUGUAGUUAUGAUUCAUUUUAUGAAUGUAUGUAAGUAUGGAGUUAUGUAUGCAUGUAUGUAUAUAUGUAGGUAUUGGUGUAUGUAUGUACGUAAGUAGUUAUGUAUGAGCAUGAGCAUUAUGUAUUUGAAUAUGAAAGUACAUACGUGUGUAGGUACGAAUGUAUAUAUAUAUGUGGAUGCAAGUAAGUAUGUAUGUAUGUAUGUAUGUGAGUAGGUAUGUGUGUAUGUAGUUAUGUAUGUAUGUAUGUAAAUACAUAUGCGAAGAUGUAAUCAUGUAUGUAUGUAAUUCGAUGCGUGGGUAUGCAAGUAAAGGUAUGUAUGUAUGUAGAUGUGUAUUAUGCGUAUGCGAAGAUACGUAGGUAUAUAUGAAUGUAUGUAGAGAAGUAGUAAUGCAUGCGCGAAUGUAGAUAUGGGGUUGGUAUAUAAGAAGGUACGUAUGAGUAUAUGCAGGUAUGUAGAAAUAUAGGAGGACAUGUACGUAUGUAGACGCAUAUGUAUACAUGUAAACAUGUACAUGUGCAUGAUUUAGAUACGUAGAAUUUUAACGUUACUAAUUAUGCGUUUGAGGUUGGUAUGUGAUGCAGGAACAAGUACACCGGAUUCUUACGAAACUUAAACCGAACCCGGAAUAAGAGGAUGAGAAAGAAUAAUUGGAUGAAUUAAUGUUAAAUUGAUGAACGUUAUUCAAUCUUUAAUUACAUGAGAUUAAUGUUAUAUGAUGCUGCCUUUGACUAAUGGUUAAGUUGUAUGUGAUGCCCACAGGUGUUACACGGACUUCUUCUGCUGCUAUGGAAGUGAAGCGGACGUAGAUCGAGUCAAGAGCAAGGAUUGUACGGAUAGAUUGGUCACAUAGUUGAAGUAUAUAACGUUUGGAAAUCUAAAUUUUAGUAUGAAUGUUGUAAAAUUCUUUUAUAGUACGUUUAACAUUUUUAGGAUUUGGAUCCUUCGUGAAAGAAAUGUUGUUAAUACGGAAGAAAAUUUUAAAGCUC